UACGUAGGGUGCAAGCGUUGUCCGGAAUUAUUGGGCGUAAAGAGCUCGUAGGCGGUUUGUCGCGUCUGCUGUGAAAUCCCGAGGCUCAACCUCGGGUCUGCAGUGGGUACGGGCAGACUAGAGUGCGGUAGGGGAGAUUGGAACUCCUGGUGUAGCGGUGGAAUGCGCAGAUAUCAGGAAGAACACCGAUGGCGAAGGCAGAUCUCUGGGCCGUAACUGACGCUGAGGAGCGAAAGCAUGGGGAGCGAACGGG
rnacentral:rRNA from 1 species